CCUACGGGUGGCAGCAGUGAGGAAUAUUGGGCAAUGGCGGCAAGCCUGACCCAGCCAUGCCGCGUGAGUGAAGAAGGUCUUCGGAUUGUAAAGCUCUUUCGGACGUGACGAAGAUGACGGUAGCGUCUAAAGACUCACCGGCAACCUUCGUGCCAGCAGCCGCGGUACUACGGAGGGUGCGAGCGUUGUUCGGAAUUACUGGGCGUAAAGGGAGUGUAGGCGGGUAUGUAAGAUAGCGGGGGAAUGCCGGGGCUCAACCCCGGAACUGCCAUGAUGACUAUGUAACUAGAGUAAUGGGGAGGAUAGCGGAAUACGCGGUGUAGAGGUGAAAUGCGUAGAUAUUGGGUAGAACACCGGUGGCGAAGGCGGCGAUCUGGCCAUUUACUGACGCUGAGGCUCGAAAGCGUGGGGAUCAAACAGGAUUAGAUACCCCGGUAGUC
rnacentral:rRNA from 1 species